AGCAGAUGAAGUUAUUGAAACUGAUAUUUAUUGAUGGCUGCAAGGACAAAUGCAAAGUAGUUUUCCAAAGUCUACAUACUAAUGGUUCUGGUUUGCUCUGCUUUCGCCCCAGACAAAUACCUAAUACCAUUACCCUUGAGAGAAUCACCAGCCUUAAAACUGAUGUUGGUCCCCUUCACCUUAAUAGUAUGACUGAAAUGUCAAGUACAAACUUUCCAUCGAGAGUGAACAGCAUAACUUAAAGCUGGUAACGCUGAUGAAAGGAGGCUAUGGACGUUUAAAGAACACAACCGAUUCAACAAACACACAGGAGAAGUCAGAAUGUGUCAGAGAUGGUACCAAACUUUGUUGGUUUGACAUUAAAGUAGAAAAGCACAAUUUUGAUACAGGCAGAUAACACCAAAAAUGUAAUUAUGGGUACCAGCAGACAGGAAAAUGUCCACUGAUGUGUGUAUAACAAACAGCAAUGACGAGCUUCAACAUAUUAGCUGUAUGGAAGUAUUUUGGAGCGAUUUUUUUCUAGUUUUAUGCCUAUUUUCAAAACAUAUAAAUUGUCACAAUUGAGGGUAACAAGUAAAUUCAACCAGAAAGGACCUGGUGUUUGUAACACUGAAAAAAAAUGUGUAUACAUUGCUUGUAUUGGUAUCAGAUUAAAAGAGCUUGGAAAUAUCUGCAUAUCAGAGUCUUACAUUAAAGCUCCUUACCUAGUUAAAAAAACUAACUGAAAUUAAUGCUACUGCCUCUUUACAGCCUACAAAAGCAAACUCUAUCACUAACAAGACGGAUUAUUCUUGGACAGUAAUUUGUGAUGUCUAAAACUGCUGGUAGUGGGUAGGUGUCAGUUGAGUUCACAAAAAAAAAAAAAGUUAUUGUUGUGUUUUCAAGUGCAAACCUCAUCUGUGAGUAAAACAUUUAGCAUGAGGGGUGAGAUUUUUUUGUUAGAAAGCAGCACGGACACAUGUAGGGACAGUACCAACAAAAAGAUACAAGAAACCACUUUGUCCACAAGAAGCGCCAAAUUCCUCACAGGAGCUUUAAGUAAAUACGAUGAUGCAGUUGAAAAUAAUAGAUCUCGAGAUGGUGGAUCCCACACACAAUAACCACUCAGUCUACUGUUUGCAUUUUUUGCAAUUUUACUGCUGUUGUGAUAAUUUUAGGGCUGAAAAUGACUCCAAAGUGUGACCCAGGAUGCACCAAAGAAUUUUGCCACAAGCUUCUCCAUUUGGUUUUGUUUCCCCUCACUUAAAGAGAGUUUUCUUUCUUUUUACUUUCAGAGAAAAUGUCAUUUGUUUCCAUUAAACAUGCAGUCCUCUUCAUAACCACUUCAACACUGCAGAAAAUAUCUCAAUAAAAAGGCAGACAAGAGGCUGUGAUGAUUUUGAAUU